CUCACAGUCUCCCUUUCUAUAGUGCAAGCUCGACUAGACAGUUUUGACAAUAGUGAUAUUAAGGCUCUGCUUGGUGCCAUGCAAUCUGCAUUUGGGGUGCCAGCUAGCCACAGGACUCAUCUGGAAAAAAAACAACCGCCCAACCCUGAGAACUUUGGGAUUCAUGGGAAAUUACAGUUCCCCUGAUGAUGCAGGACCGGACCAGGAUUUCACUCAUCAACUGGCCUAGAUUAAGGAGAAAGAAAUCUACAUUUCUGAACCUGGUAAUGUCUGAGCAUAGUCAUGGAAGAAAGAGCUGGCCUAUAAGUAACAUCUACAUUCUUACCAUGACUGUGAAACUGAUACUGCCCACAAGGAUACCAGUACUGAGUGAUAAAGAACAUUUUGCUUGUUCUAUCGUGGUCCUUGCUUAAGGGGAUUGUUGGACGGAUGUUGUGGGAACUGAACUUGAAGAAGGAAGAGCCCAUCAUUUGGACACAUCUUAGGGCUUCCCAGCUGCACCAGGUUAUGGACAAGGCACCUGGAACCCCAACCCUUCCAGUCACUAACCACAUGGCCUGAGAUGUCAUUUCAUGCAGCUGGGCUCUUUGUGCUCAUCAGCAAGUGAUGUAAAUAAAGCAUGUGAGGUUAGCACACCGUACAUUCUCAAAUCCUGGAGCUACUGGUCCUCUUGUGACUAUUAUUAAUAUUAUAAUGA
rnacentral:lncRNA from 1 species